rnacentral:lncRNA from 1 species
CAUCCGAAUCAUGCUCAACUCAAACAGUCCUGUGACUCCUCACAAGGACUACCCUGGCCAAGAUUUUGCUAAAUUGAAACACGACUGUACAUAGCUCCUAAACUGGAGUGGUCAAUCCCAUCUUGACACACGCACCGACAAGUCAAGUACUUGACUACACCCAGCAGCCUUCCAUCACUGAAUUAAAAAUUCAGGUAGUCCAGUGCCUAAGUGCAGUGAGUUACUUGC